UGGAAAGUAGACAAGCCAUCACAAAUACCAAAGAUGAAUAAGGAAAUUAAUAAGAUCAAAGUAAUAGCUAUAAAUAAAACUUCAUAUCCUGAGCAGAGAAUACCUACAUUAAACAGUCACUAAAUUUCUGGCAUCAGAAAAGGAAACCAAAGGAGACCCCAGACAGCCCCAGGAGCCAGGGGCAACCAGACAUGGGUACCUGUGGAGCCCCUUAAGCAGGUUCACUGCCUCUGAAGGAAGGUUCUGGUUAUUGUUUUAUUCGGAAGCAUUUGCAAAAGUCCUGCAUCUUCAGGAGAUCCAUGGAAAAGACUCUGACAACAACUCCAGAUUUCAAGUUUCUGAAAACUUGAAAAGAUCAUGGAACUGAACUGGCACACCUGCUGCCACCUUCUCAACUGAUGUCUAUCUCAAACUGUGCUGACAGAUGUGAAGGAGACUUCCACGGUGGGGCAAGGACCCACAGUCUAAAUCAUAUCAUUCAAAGAUGCUGCUCUUACCACAAAACAGGACAGACUCAAAAGGGGUUGACCAGAUCAAAUUGAUUUUCUUCCUGCCUUUGAAUGAUAAAAUGUUCAAGCUCUAGGAGGACACAGCUGGCUAGGGAAUGUUGUUUUAGAUGGAAUGAGGAAUGGAGAUUCUCACUUCUUCCCAACUGUGGGUGAAGUAGGGAAAGGAACAUAAUGGAAGUGGGUACCUUGAAAAAUAUGGGGUUUCUGAGAGAUGAAACAAAUUUGUUAUUUCUUGGAUGUAGUCUGCGAGCAGAAACCUCAGAGAUGUACCCCAUACAAUGAGUUCUGGGGAAAGAGUAGAGAGAAUAAAUAAAUAUUUGGACAAGAGCCCAGUUGUAUCUAGCAUUCCCUAUCACCUGGGAACAGCAUCGAAGGGGUCCAUACCCUUACUAUGGCUCCAGGGUAAACCGUGAAAAUUAGCUUGGUGAGUGAGCUGACGAUCCUCCUGAGAGGCCACCUCGCCCUAAGAAAGUUACAGUGUGAGGAGAUUUGCUUUACAGUGAUGCAAGGGGGACCUUUAGAAGGGAGCUGAAGGCUGGCAACCCCAGCACACUGUAGGGGCUACCACUGUGUCACCUUCAGGAGUCAGCACUACAGACCACUGAGGCCAUAGAAUAAUCAAAAGAAAAGGAAUGCCACUCUCCCCACCAUGGGUUUGUGGAUGAUUAUCUGAGUGAACUUCUCCUUCCCAGACUCAUAUUCCCUCCAGAAGAGGAUGUCAGAAACUCAGAGUCAAAAUUUGAAUUUGAUUGAGACCGAAUUAGUAAUCCUGAUAAUUGGUUCAUUAAACUGAAUUUCCCCCAAUACUAUUUUUCUGGAGGCAGAUCAAUAGCUCCUCUGCUCCUCACUCAAGCCCUUGGCUGUAGAAUUUAAACCAGUGACACAAAUCUGGGAUCAGAUGGAUUCACUCUGUAUCCCAGAAACCAGCUUUAAAGACAGUAUGUGGCAAGAGCCCUAACCUCUGACUCACACAAAAAUCCUGCUGACACACCAAAAAUCACUAUUGCAUUACCCGUGAUGGCUCAGGCUUUCUCAGUAUUUCUUCCAGCAGCACAGAACACAUUUUGAAGAUUCCAUUUAAAAUGGAGGAGCAGUUUCAGCACAACAUUUUAAAUAUCAACUAUGUAUUGAAUUGAGAUCAGUUUUUAAAUAUGUCAAUGAAUUUUGUAUUCCCGAGGACGGUAAACAGGCUGGGAAUAGAGCCAGAACAGAGAGAUGACUUGUAUCUCCAUAUCUGUCCCAGAGGGGAAAUGCUACUAAGCGGACCGUGCACUCAUGGGAGCCUGGAACGAGUGUUUUGGGAUUCACAAAACCACCCUGGAUAAUUAGGGGGCCCCUGCAUCCCCGAACCACAGCUUUGAAAGAAUCUGCUAAGGAGCCCCACACGCUUCAAGAUCUUUUCUUAACCUUUAGAGAAAGAAUCACCCAGGGAGCUUAUUAAACAUGAAGAUUCUGAUUUAGCUGUCCUGGGAUUCUGCAUUUCUUAACAAGCAGAGCCACCAUCAGAGUAGAGACCGCAUGGAGGACUUGGUUAAUGAGUUCUGUGCGCACAGCUUGAACUGCCUGGUCUGAAGACUUCUCAGUGUGGCACCUCAAUCACUGUCAGCUCCUUGCACUGAGGCACACUCGACGGCCUCGGCAGGGCCCUGCUCCCCAUGCCGGGCCUUCAUCAGCACAAUUAAUCACUUCUCUUCUUUGCAAGUUCUCCGCUCAUUUGUCAGGAUUUCCAUGUUUUGACACCAAAGAACCACAGUCCUCCAAUUGUUUGGGAUAGCAUUUUCCCAUUCUAGAGCACACCUGCCAUCUGCUGGCCAGAACUUAUCUCCAAGAUACAGGGAAAGAAAAGCCAUCAUUUGUUUCUGCCUUGCGCCCCCUUGCUCCUCGAGGCACCCCCAUGGUUAACAACUCCAGGGUGUGUGGUCAGUGUAAAAUGUAAAAGGUGAUGUUGCCACCCUGUGCCCUGCUGCCUUCCUUAUCUGGCCGGAUUGGAGAGAGUGCGUUUGAGGGAUCCAUUCUAGGAACGCCUUGGAUACUGAGGUCUACCUCAGGUUUGCAGGAGGUUAUGUUCUCCUCCAAGUGGGUUUGAUGUCAGUGCCUAAGGGAAGCAGGCUCUAGAGGAGCUGGGGCUCCCUGGGACUGACGUCUACUUUAGGGAUGAUCCAAGACAAGGUCGAAGAAAUCAGAUCCUGUGCUCUGCAACACUGCAAUAGAAGACAUUCUAUCAACAUUAUUUAGUAAGAGAGAGUAAUUAAUACAUGAAUAUUCUCAAACAAGGGGUCUAGGGUUUGCUCCUUUUACAGAGAAGCCAUGUGAACCUAAAUGGACAAACUGGCACAAGCUUAGGACAUUCUUUGGCUUUUCCUGGUGCAGUGGGCACAACCGUGUUUGCACAAGUGUAAAUUGUGCAUGUCCUAUACUCACUCUCAGAGACUGGAACAGGCUGUGUGUGCAGGCCGGGGGGUGGUGGUAUAGGGGCGGUGGGAACUACUCCUGUUUGUAUCGAAAUCUGGAAUAUACCAAACUCUUAUUCCAGUUAUGAGAAAAUAAAAAACGAGGCUGGGAAAAAAACAUCCAGAAGCGAUUUAGAUCAUCAAGGCUCUCACUUCCAUUUUUAUUCUGACACUUCUUUCAAUGGCUCCGAGCCUCAAUCUCUUCUGUUGCAAACUGAAAGUUUCACACCUCUCUCACAAGAUGGUAGUUGAGAUGGAAUGAGAGAGCUUGUGGAAGUGGAAGGGUUUCAAGUGAUGAAAUGUAGAAAGUGUGAUUGUGUCUGUUGGGUUCUAGUGGCCUGAGACAGCUCCAAGGAAGGCCAGAUGGACAGGUCCAGGUAUGGGGUUGAGGAGAGAGUGCUAUCCAUGGGGAUCCACUGGGAGUAUUUUUUUCUUUUUUAGAUUUUAAAAAUCUAUUUAUUCAUGAGAGACACAGAGAGAGAGGCAGAGGGAGAAGCAGGUCCCUGUGGGGAGCUCCAUGCAAGACUUGAUCCCCAGACACUAGGAUCACGCCCCGAGCCAAAGGCAGAUGCUCAACCGCUAAGUCACCCAGGCGUCCCCACUGGGAGUCUUUCUGAAGAACUCAAAAAAUGGCUCUACAGUUGUGUAUUUUAUGUGUUGAUGAUAAUAUGCAAGAAGAGAGAGGGAGGGGGAGAGAGAGGCAAAGCAUAAAGCCGACUCUUACCUCCAGAGAACUGAGGGCUACCAGAGGAGAGGUAGAAGGAUGGGUUAAAUCCCUGAUAGGUAAUAAUGAGGGACCUUUGUUUUGAUGAGCCCUGGGCAUUGUGUGGAAGUAACAAAUCACAGGAUUCUACACCUGAAACCAAUAUCACACUGUAUAUUGACUGGAAUUUAAAUGGAAACCUGGGAGAAAAAAAAUAAAAAGAAAACUUUUCUAAGGACUGAGUUUGGAAUUCAUCAAAAAGUCUUAGGAUCGUUGUAUUAAAAAAUAAAACCAUGGCAGGAAGUACAGUGACACUAUUCUCUUAAUUCUCAAGUGUUGACUGUAAAUGUUUUAGCCUUAAAAAAAUACAUUUAGAAAGUUGUGUUGACUGCUAUUUCAUUUGUACUGACUGAUAAAGUUUCGAAUCUAGCCUAGCCAUUGUUUUAUUAUUCAGGUAAUUAUCUAAACAGGGUUUCAGUAACCUUGGUGUGAAUUCCAAUGUGAGGGAUUUUAGCACUUAUUUCAUAAUCAGAAACUAAUUAACAAAUUUAAUUAGCCUAAGAAGAAGGCCUUCUUUCUUCUCUUUGUCAGGAACUUGAAAACAGUUAUGUGUAGUAUCAGUGAAACUGCCGGAGUCUUGAAUCUCAUU